GGGGCACAACAGGAAUAAGUGCCAUUUACGGCCCCAACCAGCAGAAGCACCCCAGACAACAGAAGCACCACAGCCAGCACCAUCAACCCAUUCAGCAGAAGCAACCCAGCCAGCACCACCAACCCAAUCAGAAGAAACAACACAACCAUCACAACCACCUCCAACUUCCCCAACCCCUCUACCAUCACAACCACCAAGUCCCCAAUCAUCCCGUC
rnacentral:lncRNA from 1 species